CAAAGCUGAUAACAGACGUCUUACAAUGAUUGCAUUCUUAAUAUAUUUUCUUUGUUUUAAGGUCACUCUGGUCACCACAGAAGAGAAGAGGCUACUGCUGAAUGAUCCGGAUGUACUGGUUAAUCGGUUGAAUCGACUAGAAAGUGUCGUGGCGGUACUCAAUAGCACAGUACAACAACAGUCAAUAACAAUUCAGAAACAGGAAAAGACUAUUAAACAGUUACAAGAUUAUGUUAGUACUGCUCAAGGUAAGACUAUUAUGUUGUUUAACAAAUAAUAAAAGUCCGCUUUAUUUGACAACUAGAUUAUUAAAAAAAAUUCCAACUCUAACAGACAAAAAGAUAUGGUUUUUUUCUUCUCUUUUAAUGAUUUCAAGAUACCGUCGUUAGCUAAUAAUUCGAGAUUUAAAAGUGAAGGAUAUUGAAUAUUUCAAAAUUUAGUCCUGGUAUCUAUGAUGAGUUAAUUUACUACCACUGGGUCGAUGCCACUGCUGGUCGAGAUUUAUUUCCACGAGGGUAUCACCAGCCCAGUUGUCAGCACUUUUGUGCUAACAUGAAUUAUCAUUGCUAUGGUUAUAUUUAUGAAUUUACAGCUCACAAAAUUUUGAAUUUUUGAAAUACCAAGGCUUUGCUACCUCAGGCAUAUAUUACCUUAGCUGUAUUUGGCAAAACUUUUAGGAAUUUUGGUCGUCAAUGCUCUUCAACUUCGUACUUUAUUCAACUGUUUUGGAUUCGAGCGUCACUGAUGAGUCUUUUGUAGACGAAACGCGCGUCUGGUGUAUAUUCAAAAUUUAGUCCUGGUAUCUAUGAUGAGUUAAUUUGUAUCAAUUAUUGUAUAAGGAAUAUUGUUCAUACAUUGUUGAUUUGAAAAGGUGCCCUUAUGUCUUCAUCUGUUGCUCCAUGAAAACAUGCUUAAAUUUUAACCCGUGUAUUACGAUAUUAAUCAAGUUAAAAUAAAAAAAUUACACUGCAGAACUAUUUAGAUAUAAUGAUAUUAUACACUAUUUCUCCAUUUUAUCUUUUGAACAUCAGGCCUUUGUAUUGUGAUGCCAUGCAUAUUACCACAGAAUUGGCAUUUAACGUUUCUCUUCAGUCGAUAUAAUUGGGAUUUAAACCAUACACGUGUUAUAUUAAAACUUUGUCUUUGGUAAUUCAUAAUUUCACUAUAAAAAGGAGUUGUUUGGAUUUUUGUUUAUUCAGCGAAUUUGUGUAUUUUACACUAAACUCAUUUUGAAUUGCAGAAUUCCAUAAUUGUUAAUGUGCUUACAAUGUCGGGAUUAAAAAUAUAUUCCAGGCAUUGGAACAACGUAUAUUAGAUGGGGAAGAAAGCAAUGUCCAAUUAAUAGCACAGAAUUAGUCUACUCAGGU
rnacentral:lncRNA from 1 species